rnacentral:lncRNA from 1 species
UGCCUGGGCCGAAUAGCCUUGAUGGCAUCUUGAAGGUCCUUGAGAGAUUAGAAAUGAAAGUCCCGGAAGCUGCUAAUCCCAAGACUUGGAAGGCAGAGACAGGAGAGCUACUAGUUUGAGAGGAGUCUGAGAUGUGCUUCUCUCUCCUUUUAAACACCACACAGAAGCUGCAUGUGGAAGGUGGAGGCAGGAGGAUCCAGAGUCACAGGCUAGCCUCAGCUACGUGGUGAAUAUGGAUGAAAUUUCACAAAAAGAAGCUGCUUUUUCAAAGUGAACCUUCCGCAAGGCUGACUAAUCCUCGAAGCUACGUGACAGAGAUGGAGCACUGGGAAUGCACAGAGAACCAGUUUCCCUUUGGGAAAUAGUCUCUCGCUUCCUCCUGUCUGAACCUGAAGGCAUCAUCAGUAUGUGGGGCCUAAACCAGAGUUCUCCGUUUUCCUGUGGCCAGCCUCUCCGAUGCUCCCACCCAUGUAUCUGAAAAGCACCUUGAUUUAUUUUGAUGAUUUUUUAUUUAUUUAUCUGUAAACAAACUCUGUGUCCCGUGGCCACAGUCACCCACGUUUGUCUCCAAAAUAAACGUCUCUUCUUUGAGAGGGAGAGAAAGAAAGA